UACAGAGGUCUCAAGCGUUGUUCGGAUUCAUUGGGCGUAAAGGGUGCGUAGGCGGCGCGGUAAGUCGGGUGUGAAAUUUCGAGGCUUAACUUCGAAACUGCAUUCGAUACUGCCGUGCUAGAGGACUGGAGAGGAGACUGGAAUUUACGGUGCAGCGGUGAAAUGCGUAGAUAUCGUAAGGAAGACCAGUGGCGAAGGCGGGUCUCUGGACAGUAACUGACGCUGAGGAGCGAAAGCGUGGGGAGCGAACAGG
rnacentral:rRNA from 1 species